AAUUUAAAUUGAAAUAGUGGCAGAUAUUAAAUGCAAUCCUUAUCCAUGUUUGAGGUUAAACUACCGCUUAAGCUUAAACUUUUGAGAAGUCUCGUUAAAACUUCUCAUAAGUGCAUAAUUGCAUAACAACUUAGUCAUUUUGAAAAUCGAUUCUCAACUCUAUGAAAAGGCUGUUCUGUUUUUCCCAUUCGAAAAUCAUAAAUUGAAUUGAGCCUUUCUCAACAUCAAGUUAUUUAUUCUGGUGAUUAUUUUUGCAUAGUGAUGAAAUCAUCAAAGAAACCGAGAUAAAUCAAGUUUUCUUGCAAGAUAUUUCAACUAGAUUUUUUUACUUUUCAAAAACAAGAGAAUAAGUUUUAAGUGAAUGGAUUCGAAUGAAAAAUAGCGAAUAUGUACACAGAAAGAUCGUUAAGAAAAAGUUACAUCUUAUUAAGAAUGAUACCUGGACAGAUAUUCGCGAGGGCACAUAUCGAAUAAAUAUCACAUCACUUGACGAUCAAUUCCCUGCAAUGAACGUAACAAUUUAGAAUGAAACAUCGGACCAAGCGUAUGUUUCCUCGCUUUUCCUAAUAUUCGUUCGCUAAUUAGUGCAAUAUCACACGCUUAUUGUUCACAAGAGAGGCUCUAUUGCGAAUCCAUCACGACUAUUGGGCCUUGACCUGAAUAAAUGCUUAAUGAUCGUUGCCAGAAUUUAAGAUCCUUUUGUGAUUUUAUGUGUGCGCAAUCUUAAUGGAUGUGUACGCAAAUUGUGGUUUCUAAUUAUGGCUUGUUAAAAAGUUUUCUUUCUCUUGUAAUUUGGCAACUGAGUGGAACAAUGUGUCAAGUAACACUGGUAGUAUUAAUUAUUUUAUAUAUAUAUAAAAUGUUGAAAUAUUCGUGGACAUCUUUGAAGAGUGGAGUUUUUUCUUUUUAGAAUAGAAAGUUUAAUUAAAGGAAAUGUAAAAAAUUAGUACAUAAAAAUAUCAGUUGAGAUUUAUUUGUUAAAUUAUAAAUAAUUUAAGUUUGCAUUAAGGUUGUAAUAAAAUAAGAAUUUUACAAAAGUAAGAAUCUCCACUAAGAAUAUGCUCAUUCGAAUACAUAUCUACGGAGAAUAUUAAACGUGGUUCAAUGACCACUAUGAUUUCAGAAUUUGCAGAAUCAUAGAAGUUAAAUUGAAAUUUAUGCAACACUGGUUGCAUAGUAUUAGAAGGAUGGAACUGAAUAUAUCGAUCUAAUAAUUUCUGCGUGGGCAGACUGUACGUGUUGAAUAUCAAACGAGAAAUUAUAAUUUUGCCAAAUGCCCUACAAUUUCGAUUCUAUUCAUUUUGGGUUCUUCGACCUUGAAAAUUGAAGAAAUGAAUGCAUUGUUAUUAAUUGCAACAAAAUUUUGAAUUAUUCUAA